ACCAGACUCCUACGGGAGGCAGCAGUGGGGAAUAUUGCACAAUGGGGGAAACCCUGAUGCAGCGACGCCGCGUGAGUGAAGAAGUAUUUCGGUAUGUAAAGCUCUAUCAGCAGGAACGAGACAAGACGGUACCUGACUAAGAAGCCCCGGCUAACUACGUGCCAGCAGCCGCGGUAAUACGUAGGGGGCAAGCGUUAUCCGGAAUCACUGGGUGUAAAGGGAGCGUAGACGGCUGUGCAAGCCUGAAGUGAAAGGCGGGGGCCCAACCCCUGGACUGCUUUGGGAACUGUACGGCUGGAGUGCAGGAGAGGUAAGUGGAAUUCCUGGUGUAGCGGUGAAAUGCGUAGAUAUCAGGAGGAACACCGGUGGCGAAGGCGGCCUGCUGGACUGCAACUGACGUUGAGGCCCGAAAGCGUGGGGAGCAAACAGGAUUAGAUCCCCCAGUA
rnacentral:rRNA from 1 species